rnacentral:lncRNA from 1 species
UCCGUGGCCAGAGCCCACAAAACUGAUGCUGGCCUCCCGCAGGCCCGCUGCGCCCCUCCCCAGGCGCCCGGGCCCCGCAGGGUCCGGCGAGACGCCCCCUUCCUGGAGCAGCGGGCGGAGCUCGGGGCACCGAGGAGGCGACCGCGAAGGAUGCUGCCGCCGCCGCCCUCGCCCUAGAGCCCGGGCUGCCGUAGUGCGCGAGGCCUCCCUCCCUAGGGGAAGGGGCUGGCGAGGGCCUGGACGCCUGGCACCCCCGCCUCUCGGGGUCGAGCGAGGCGCGGCCACCGCCCUCCGAAGAGCCGGGCUCCGGCGCGGAGCGUGGGACAUCGGGAGCCGCCUUGGCCUGUCUGAUGCCCCAGGCCUCGAGGCGGCUGCUUUAGGCGUCAAGUUGAGCAGGGUAUGUGUGCCCUCUUGGGGAAAGGGUACGAAAUGGUGCUGACUUUCCCUCCUCGGCCGGGACAAGCUGGGACCCACGCACACACAUCCAAACACAUGCCCAGGUGGAGCGGGCUCCGCAGCCUCAGCCCUGGCGUCGUGGACCCGAAAAGCGGAACCCCACGCGGCCAGCAUCACCCACCCGAACCUGGCGACGGGCGCGACCAGGCGAGCUCCGCGGGGCCGCGCUGCGGGGAGAGGCCGCCCUGGGGCGCGAACGCAGCCCGCCCCGGGUAUCCAGCAAUGCGGGGCCUCGGGGUUGAAGUCCUAAAGUUACUAAUCUGGCUCAGGGGUAGAGAGCGUGCCUCAGACCGCCCGGGGCGGUCAUUUGAGCGUGUUUACUUAAGGACUUUGCAAGCCGAGCGCGCGCGAAAUAGUCGGAUUUCCAGCGAAGCAGCAAAUAUUUGCAAGCGGCAGAAAGAAGCGGAGCCGGACCGCGCCGCCGCGUCCCUCCCCCCGGAGCCGCGGCGCCGGCCUGGGCGGACCCAGCCGCGCUCUUAA